GAGAGGUAGCUCAAUUGGCAGAGCACCCGACCAAUAAUCGGGAGGUUGUGGGUUCGAAUCCCACC
rnacentral:tRNA from 1 species